rnacentral:misc_RNA from 1 species
AUCAAUAAUACCUCGGUGUGGGUUUUAUAUGAUGUUGGAGUGCGAAGGACGAUGAACCCGAGUUUUGUUUGCCUAGAUUUAGGGGCCCUUGUGAUACACAUAUCUACGUCUAGUUAACAAAAGAAGUUAGCGGAAAGAUGGCUGCCCGGAUGAGUAACUAACGUUACAGUCUCCAUUGAGAAGACACGUCUAAGUUGGUACUUUAUAUGUAUCUGGAUGAAGCAAGGAGGGUUACACUGUUGGAUGAAGCCAGGAGAUAGUGUGGAGGGUAUACUGUUGGAUGAAGAAGAUUCAGUUGACUGUUUCUUGCAUAUGUGGGCCAUGUUACAGGCUGGAUAGUAUGUAAAGAUUUUAGCCCCAUGAUGUGCGACUAAAGCUAAGAGUUAAAAUGCCACUAGUGACAGUUAUUGUCAUUGGUGCAGGGCAAAGGGGGAGGAUGUACAGUAACUAUGCAUUGGACUUCCCUGAAAAGCUGAAGGUUGUUGGAGUUGCUGAUCCCAACAUCGUAGCACGAAGUCAUCUGCAGAAAAUUCACAACAUUCCCGAUGAUAGACUGUAUGAUGAUUGGACCAAAAUAACAGCACAAGACAAGUUUGCUGAUGCUGUCAUUAUCUCAACUCCAGACCAUCUUCACAGAGACCCGGCCGUUGCAUGUGCUGUGGCAGGAUAUCACAUCUUGCUGGAGAAGCCUAUGGCAACAACAGAGCAAGGAUGUCGUGACAUAGUUGAGGCCUGUACGCUUAAUAGCAUCAUUCUGUCAGUCUGCCAUGUUUUACGUCAUUAUCCCCCCAUGAGCAAGAUUAAGGAACUGAUUGACAGUGGUGCUGUGGGUGAUGUUGUCAACAUACAACACAUCGAGCAGGUUGGAUUUUGGCACUUUGCACAUUCCUUUGUCCGUGGAAACUGGUGUUGUGAGGACAAAUCUACGUUUUCGCUACUUGCCAAAUGUUGCCAUGAUGUUGACCUCCUAUCGUGGUGGAUGAGCAAGUACAAAUGCACUGGGGUAUCUUCAUUUGGGUCGCUGUCCCACUUCAGAAAGGAAAAUAAGCCUCCUGGUUCAGCCACUAGAUGCCUAGACUGUAAGAUUGAGAAAGACUGCUGCUACUCAGCCAAGAAACUCUACUUGAACAUGUAUGAAAAGUCUCAUUGGUCAUCAACACUCUCCUUUUACUCCUACAUAGAAUAUUGUAAAAGCAUGGGUAUUUCUGAUUGGCCAGUUUCAGUUAUCUGCCAUGAACCAUCAAUAGACUCCAUCACGAAGGCUUUACAAAAUGGGCCAUAUGGACGAUGUGUGUAUGACAGUGACAAUGACGUGUGUGACAAUCAGGUUGUUAGUCUGCGCUUUUUUGGAGGACAUACAGCAACGCUAACUAUGGUGGCUUUUACAGAAAGUGUGUGUAAAAGAAUUGUCCGAGUCUUUGGAACAAAGGAUCUCCAAACAGCUUUUGUCAAGAGAUGAUGAUUGGAGUUUCACCUCACAGUGGACAAAUGUUCCUUACUGGCUGGUAUUAUAUAAUUCUAGAUGAAGGACCCAUCUAUCGUUCCAGCAUCACCAAAAGAAAUUCUAAGCACUCAUCUACUGGUGUUUGAGGCAGAGAAAGCUAGG